UACGUAGGGGGCUAGCGUUGUCCGGAUUUAUUGGGCGUAAAGAGCGUGUAGGCGGCCAGGUAGGUCUGGUGUGAAAACUCGAGGCUUAACCUCGAGAUGUCAUCGGAAACCAUUUGGCUAGAGUCCGGAAGAGGAGAGUGGAAUUCCUGGUGUAGCGGUGAAAUGCGCAGAUAUCAGGAAGAACACCAAUAGCGAAGGCAGCUCGCUGGGACGUUACUGACACUGAGGCGCGAAAGCGUGGGGAGCGAACAGG
rnacentral:rRNA from 1 species